rnacentral:rRNA from 1 species
UACGGGGGGGGCAAGCGUUGUUCGGAAUUACUGGGCGUAAAGAGCGUGUAGGCGGCCAGAUAGGUCGGUUGUGAAAACUGGAGGCUCAACCUCCAGACGUCGACCGAAACCCUCUGGCUAGAGUCCGGAAGAGGAGAAUGGAAUUCCUGGUGUAGCGGUGAAGUGCGCAGAUAUCAGGAAGAACACCCGUGGCGAAGGCGGCUCACUGGCCCGGUACUGACGCUGAGGUGCGAAAGCGUGGGGAGCAAACAGG